rnacentral:lncRNA from 1 species
CGUGAUAUUUAUAGGCAUGGCCCUCAACCUACGUCAUUUGCAUCCAACAUCUGAUUGGAUAAUAGGUAGAGUAUGUAAAUAAGGCAAUAGCAGUAAGGUUCUCUGAUUGGAUAGAUGGCUAUCAGCCAAUCAAUCAGAUAAUCCACAAUCUGCUGUCAGACUAGAAAUACGCUGAGUACCCGUUUUAACGGGUGUCUUUUUCCGUUAUAACUUUUAGUUUUGGGCUAUGUCUUAGACUAGGGAAACUCGGGGGAAGGGUACGCGCUAUUCAUUCAGAGAGGUUCUGCAGUUCCCCGUGGGCGGUGUCAACGGGCUGCUCAGCAAGGGCAACGAUGCCGAGAGGGUCGGGGGCUGCACGCUAGCGUACCUGCCGGCGGUUCUGGAGUACCUGGCCUCCGACACCCUGGAGUUGGCGGGCAACGCCGUCGGAACAAGAAGAAGACCCGCAUCAUCCCGCGCCACCUGCAGCUGGCCAUCCGCAACGACAAGGAGCUCGACAAGCUGCUGGCCCGAGUGACAAUGGCUUAGGGUGACGUUUUGCCCAACAUCCAAGCUGUGCUGCUGUCCCAAAGGAUUGGGAGCCACUACCACAAAGUCCAGUAUGAAUAACCACCCAAGUUGUAAAAGCCAGCGAAGUGACUUGAAUGUCUAAUGUCUAGAAGAAACAAAAACAAAAACAAAAACAAAAACCCCAAAGCUGAAAUCAAAGGCCCUUUUCAGAGCCACUCAAUUUCUGAGAAAGAGCUAGUUUACAAAAGGAUUACAAAAUGCUGUUUCGUCAAUAAGACUACAGCUUUCGUAAACAGGACUCAGAACAGUUCUGGUUAUUGGGGUAUCCGAAGCAGUUUCCUUUAAUACUCGGUAGUAUUGACAGCAGAACUUGAUGUUUCUGGGUGGAACUGUUUCAGCACCUACUUCAGGUAGGCAGAGCAGUGAUUAUAGCAGGCUCCUGGAAGGGAAAAUGCCAUUCUUCUUGGGAAAAUGAACAAACAAAUUAGGAUGUUAUUGUGACAACCUAUGUAAUUCCUGAGAAAAAUAAUGUGAAGAUGGGGAAUCAUAUUUUGGGGGUUGAAUUUUAGUUAGAGUGUCGAAUUAGACUAAAUGAUUAGAAGGAAAGGAAGAUUUGUAAACUUGCAGCUUUCAGCACAACUCUUGUUGGGAGAGCAUGACUGUAUGGACAUCAGUCAAGGAAUGGGCAUAUCUAAACAUACUCCUAGGGCGCAUGUUUUCUUCUGCCAAAGAAUUACCUUCCGAGAAUUCUAGGAUGGUUAUAUGUCUAGAAGACCGUAGCCAUGCUAUGUUAAUAAACCAAAAGAUAAAAGGCUUUUGCAUUUCUGAUGACUGGAUGGCCCCACUGGAUCCAUGACUCUUGACUCAACUGGUCCUAUGGCCACUACUCAGAAGUGGACUCAGCUUCAGGAAGGCCAUUUUCCCUAUCCCUAUGAUUGCUUUCUCAACCAAUCAGCAGCACCCAUUCCCUAGCCCCCUGCUUGCCAAACUAUCUUUGAAAAACCCUAGCCUCCAAAUUUUCGGGGAGGUUAGUUUGAGUAGUAAUAAAACUCUAGUCUCCCUUCUAGCCUGUUUUACAUGUAUUAAACUGUUUCUCUAUUGCAAUUUCCUUAUAUUGAUAAAUUGGCUUUAUCUGGGCAGCAGGCAAAAGAAACCCAUUGGGUGGUUACAACUGCUAUUACAACCAGUAAUAUAUGACCAUCAUAUGGCACCCAAAUAACAUGAUUUUGGAAAUAAAAGUUACUGCCUUCCAAUGAAAUAACAAUGUUACUAGAUCACUGACAGUUUCCCCCUUUCAAAAUAUAAUAACAAAAAUUAGGAAUUCCUUCAAAAGAGUCUUCUCUACGAUUGUUACGACAGAGAAAUAUAAGUCCUACAUUAUAUAAAUUGUUUUAUUCUUAACAUGUUUCUUCUGAUUCCCCUUAAUCCUA